rnacentral:rRNA from 1 species
CGGAGAGUUUGAUCCUGGCUCAGGACGAACGCUGGCGGCAUGCCUAAUACAUGCAAGUCGAACGAACUUUCCCGAUGAUUGAAGCUUGCUUCAUGAAUCGGAUCUAAGUGAGUGGCGGACGGGUGAGUAACACGUGGGUAACCUGCCCAAAAGUGGGGGAUAACAUUUGGAAACAAGUGCUAAUACCGCAUAACAACUACUUUCACAUGAUCGUAGUUUAAAAGAUGGCUCUGCUAUCGCUUUUGGAUGGACCCGCGGCGUAUUAGCUAGUUGGUGAGGUAAAGGCUCACCAAGGCAAUGAUACGUAGCCGACCUGAGAGGGUAAUCGGCCACAUUGGGACUGAGACACGGCCCAAACUCCUACGGGAGGCAGCAGUAGGGAAUCUUCCACAAUGGGCGAAAGCCUGAUGGAGCAAUGCCGCGUGAGUGAAGAAGGUCUUCGGAUCGUAAAACUCUGUUGUUGAAGAAGAACAUGCGUGAGAGUAACUGUUCACGUACUGACGGUAUUCAACCAGAAAGCCACGGCUAACUACGUGCCAGCAGCCGCGGUAAUACGUAGGUGGCAAGCGUUGUCCGGAUUUAUUGGGCGUAAAGAGAAUGUAGGCGGUUUAUUAAGUUUGAAGUGAAAGCCCUCGGCUCAACCGAGGAAGUGCUUCGAAAACUGGUAAACUUGAGUGCAGAAGAGGAAAGUGGAACUCCAUGUGUAGCGGUGGAAUGCGUAGAUAUAUGGAAGAACACCAGUGGCGAAGGCGGCUUUCUGGUCUGUAACUGACGCUGAGAUUCGAAAGCAUGGGUAGCAAACAGGAUUAGAUACCCUGGUAGUCCAUGCCGUAAACGAUGAGUGCUAAGUGUUGGAG